rnacentral:rRNA from 2 species
GACGAACCGUGCGAACGUUAUUCGGAAUCACUGGGCUUAAAGCGCGUGUAGGCGGGCCAGCACGUCGGGCGCUGAAAUCCCCCGGCUCAACCGGGGAACGGGCACCGAUACGACUGGCCUGGAGGGGAGUAGGGGGACCUGGAACUUCCGGUGGAGCGGUGAAAUGCGUUGAGAUCGGAAGGAACGCCCGUGGCGAAAGCGAGGUCCUGGGCUCUUACUGACGCUGAGACGCGAAAGCCAGGGGAGCGAACGGG